CAGAAAGAAAGCGAGAUAGAAAGAGUGAGCAACAGAAUGAGACAGACAGAGAGAGAGAAUUCAGAUGGAUGACAGUGUUUCAUCCCAUGUUUCAGCAGAUGUCUUGGUUUACCUGCUACAGAGUCAUCUCUUUGUCCUCUCUGUGGAAUGUUGUCUUGUGCCCUUCUCCUCCGUAAUGGUUCCAUCUCACUAAGAAUUGAACAGACUACUAUCUAGUUAGGGGGAAUGCUAGUGGACUGCAUGCGUGGAAUUCAAGACACAGUUAAUCUAUGGAAGUUUUGCCCUCAUUUCAC
ensembl:lncRNA